CGAGCUGUAGCUCAGCGGUAGAGCGCAUGCCUCAUACUUGUGAGGCACUGGGUUCGAUUCCCAGCACCACAU
rfam:Ictidomys tridecemlineatus contig034849, whole genome shotgun sequence.